rnacentral:lncRNA from 1 species
CAGAAUGAUUUUCAGAAACUGCUUUGUGAUGUGUGCGUUCAACUCACAGAGUUUCAACUUUCUUUUCAUAGAGCAGUUAGGAAACACUCUGUUUGUAAAGUCUACAAGUGGAUAUUCAGACCUCUUUGAGGCCUUCGUUGGAAACGGGAUUUCUUUAUAUUAUGCUAGACAGAAGAAUUCUCAGUAACUUCCUUGUGUUGUGUGUAUUCAACUCACAGAGUUGAACGGUUCUUUACACAGAGCAGAUUUGAGACACUCUUUUUGUGGAAUUUGUAAGUGGAGAUUUCAGCCGCUUUGAGGUCAGUGGUAGAAAAGGAAAUAUCUUCGUAUAAAAACUAGACAGAAUGAUUCUCAGAAACUGCUUUGUGAUGUGUGCGUUCAACUCACAGAGUUUAACCUUCCUUUUCAUAGAGCAGUUAGGAAACACUCUGUUUGUAAAAUCUGCAAUUGGAUAUUCAGACCUCUUUGAGGCCUUCGUUGGAAACGGGAUUUCUUCAUAUUACACUAGACAGAAGAAUUCUCAGUAACUUCCUUUUGUUGUGUGUAUUCAACUGACAGAGUUGAACCUUCCCUUAGACAGAGCAGAUUUGAAACACUCUUUUUGUGGGGUUUGCAAGUGGAGAUUUAAAGCGCUUUGAGGCCAAAGGCAGAAAAGGAAAUAUCUUCGUAUAAAAACUAGACAGAAUCAUUCUCAGAAACUGCUGUGUGAUGUGUGCUUUCAACUCAGAGAGUUUAACUUUUCUUUUCAUUCAGCAGUUUGGAAACACUCUGUUUGUAAAGUCUGCAAGUGGAUAUAUUGACCUCUUAGGGUCCUUCGUUGGAAACGGGUUUUUUUUCAUGUAAGGCUAGACAGAAGAAUUCCCAAUAACUUCCUUGUGUUGUGUGCAUUCAACUCACAGAGUUGAACGUUCUUUUAGACAGAGCAGAUCGGAAACAAUCUUUUUGUGCAAUUUGCAGGUGGAGAUUUCAAGCGCUUUAAG